AUAACUUUCAACAACGGAUCUCUUGGCUCUCGCAUCGAUGAAGAACGCAGCGAAAUGCGAUAAGUAAUGUGAAUUGCAGAAUUCAGUGAAUCAUCGAAUCUUUGAACGCAUCUUGCGCUCCUUGGUAUUCCAUGGAGCACGCCUGUUUGAGUGUCAUUAAA
rnacentral:rRNA from 1 species